rnacentral:rRNA from 1 species
ACUCCUACGGGAGGCAGCAGUGGGGAAUAUUGGGCAAUGGGCGAAAGCCUGACCCAGCAACGCCGCGUGAAGGAAGAAGGCUUUCGGGUUGUAAAGCUCUGUCUUUGGGGACGAUAAUGACGGUACCCAAGGAGGAAGCCACGGCUAACUACGUGCCAGCAGCCGCGGUAAU